rnacentral:rRNA from 1 species
AGCGAACGCUGGCGGCAGGCCUAACACAUGCAAGUCGAACGAACUCUUCGGAGUUAGUGGCGGACGGGUGAGUAACACGUGGGAACGUGCCUUUAGGUUCGGAAUAACUCAGGGAAACUUGUGCUAAUACCGAAUGUGCCCUUCGGGGGAAAGAUUUAUCGCCUUUAGAGCGGCCCUCGUCUGAUUAGCUAGUUGGUGAGGUAAAGGCUCACCAAGGCGACGAUCAGUAGCUGGUCUGAGAGGAUGAUCAGCCACAUUGGGACUGAGACACGGCCCAAACUCCUACGGGAGGCAGCAGUGGGGAAUCUUGCGCAAUGGGCGAAAGCCUGACGCAGCCAUGCCGCGUGAAUGAUGAAGGUCUUAGGAUUGUAAAAUUCUUUCACCGGGGAAGAUAAUGACGGUACCCGGAGAAGAAGCCCCGGCUAACUUCGUG